rnacentral:tRNA from 1 species
GGGCUCUUAGCUCAGUUGGUAGAGCGCCUCGUUUGCAACGAGGAGGCCGGGGGUUCGAGUCCCCCAGAGUCCA